rnacentral:rRNA from 1 species
GCAUAACGCGAAGAACCUUACCAGGCCUUGACAUGCAGAGAACUUUCCAGAGAUGGAUUGGUGCCUUCGGGAACUCUGACACAGGUGCUGCAUGGCUGUCGUCAGCUCGUGUCGUGAGAUGUUGGGUUAAGUCCCGUAACGAGCGCGAACCCUUGUCCUUAGUUACCAGCACGUCAUGGUGGGCACUCUAAGGAGACUGCCGGUGACAAACCGGAGGAAGGUGGGGAGUGACGUCAAGGUCAUCAUGGCCCUUACGGCCUGGGACUACACACGUGCUACAAUGGUCGGUACAGAGGGUUGCCAAGCCGCGAGGUGGAGCUAAUCUCACAAAACCGAUCGUAGUCCGGAUCGCAGUCUGCAACUCGACUGCGUGAAGUC